UACGAAGGGGGCUAGCGUUGUUCGGAAUUACUGGGCGUAAAGCGCGCGCAGGCGGUCUUCCAAGUCAGAGGUGAAAGCCCGGAGCUCAACUCCGGAAUUGCCUUUGAGACUGUAUCGCUUGAAUCAUGGAGAGGCGGGUGGAAUUCCGAGUGUAGAGGUGAAAUUCGUAGAUAUUCGGAAGAACACCAGUGGCGAAGGCGGCCCGCUGGACAUGUAUUGACGCUGAGGUGCGAAAGCGUGGGGAGCAAACAGG
rnacentral:rRNA from 1 species